ensembl:lncRNA
UCUCUAGGUGUCCGCUGUGUAAGCAGCCGUUCUCCUCCAGCCUUACUCUCAAACCUCCUGUACCCGGAGAAAACAGGACCGCAGCUGCCAUGGUGACCACCAGAGCAGGUGGUAACCAUGGAGAGUGAAAGAGGAGGAGGGGGAGGGAGAGGAGACAGUCAGGACGAAGGUGGAAAGGGUGGGAACUCCUCUUCUACCCCGGCCAGAGGAUGGAGGGAUCGAUGGACAGUGGGAGCUGGCAGUGUUCCACGGCUCAUUGGUCAACAUCGUCCAACGUAUCAUCACCUUGCCCAAUCGCACGCCGUAAUAGGGAGGGAGGGGGCGGGGUCAUCCAGGAUGAACUCCACCCCUUUCCAGCUGGCACGGAUGGACCACUUCUUCCACGAGCUGGUGAGCACACACAUACACCUGCACACGCAGACAUUUAAAUACUUAAUUUGUCUCCACGUUAGUCUAGGCUGCCGAUGAGCACACACACAUCCUCUCCCUAACCCUCCUGUGUGUGUGUGUCUCUCCCUCAUAUCAGUUCAACCCGUUCUCCUCUCUCCAAGGAAGCCUUUGACCAGCUGGCCAUCUACGACACUCCGGCGCCGACCUACGAGGGCGGUAUGACAUCAUCAACCAGUGACACUGACCUCUCUGUCACCUGGCCAUCUAUGACCCUCCGGCGCCGACCUACGAGGACGGUAUGACAUCAUCAACCAGUGACACUGACCUCUCUGUCAAAUCAAAUCAAAUCAAAUGUAUUUAUAUAGCCCUUCGUACAUCAGCUGAUAUCUCAAAGUGCUGUACAGAAACCCAGCCUAAAACCCCAAACAGCAAGCAAUGCAGGUGGAGAAGCACGGUGGCUAGGAAAAACUCCCUAGAAAGGCCAAUACCUAGGAAGAAACCUAGAGAGGAACCAGGCUAUGUGGGGUGGCCAGUCCUCUUCUGGCUGUGCCGGGUGGAGAUUAUAACAGAACAUGGUCAAGAUGUUCAAUGUUCAUAAAUGACCAGCAUGGUCGAAUAAUAAUAAGGCAGAACAGUUGAAACUGGAGCAGCAGCACAGUCAGGUGGAAGUUGAAACUGGAGCAGCAGCAUGGCCAGGUAGACUGGGGACAGCAAGGAGUCAUCAUGUCAGGUAGUCCUGGGGCAUGGUCCUAGGGCUCAGGUCAGUUGAAACUGGAACAGCAGCAUGGCCAGGUGGACUGGGGACAGCAAGGAGUCAUCAUGUCAGGUAGUCCUGGGGCAUGGUCCUAGGGCUCAGGUCCUCCGAGAGAGAGAAAGAAAGAGAGAAAGAGAGAAUUAGAGAACGCACACUUAGAUUCACACAGGACACCGAAUAGGACAGGAGAAGUACUCCAGAUAUAACAAACUGACCCCAGCCCCCCGACACAUAAACUACUGCAGCAUAAAUACUGGAGGCUGAGACAUCUCCAUCUACGACCCUCCAGCGCCGACCUACGAGGACGGUAUGACAUCAUCAACCAGUGACACUGACCUCUCUGUCACCUGGCCAUCUUCGACCCUCCGGCGCCGACCUACGAGGACGGUAUGACAUCAUCAACCAGUGACACUGACCUCUCUGUCACCUCCAUCUCAGAGGAAGAGAUAUUGUUUUGUUACUACUUUUGGGAUGAGCUUCCAGUUGGCUCAUCUAUCCCCCCUCCUCCUCCUCUCCCCUGGAACUAUUCCCAAGGUCGUUGAGGUCGUUGGGGUCGUUGAGGUAAAAGAGAAUGUGUUCUCAGUC